rnacentral:rRNA from 1 species
AGUGAACGCUGGCGGUAGGCCUAACACAUGCAAGUCGAACGGCAGCACAGUAAGAGCUUGCUCUUACGGGUGGCGAGUGGCGGACGGGUGAGGAAUACAUCGGAAUCUACUUUUUCGUGGGGGAUAACGUAGGGAAACUUACGCUAAUACCGCAUACGACCUACGGGUGAAAGUAGGGGAUCUUCGGACCUUGCGCGAUUGAAUGAGCCGAUGUCGGAUUAGCUAGUUGGCGGGGUAAAGGCCCACCAAGGCGACGAUCCGUAGCUGGUCUGAGAGGAUGAUCAGCCACACUGGAACUGAGACACGGUCCAGACUCCUACGGGAGGCAGCAGUGGGGAAUAUUGGACAAUGGGCGCAAGCCUGAUCCAGCCAUACCGCGUGGGUGAAGAAGGCCUUCGGGUUAUAAAGCCCUUUUGUUGGGAAAGAAAAGCAGCAGGUUAAUACCCCGCUGUUCUGACGGUACCCAAAGAAUAAGCACCGGCUAACUUCGUG